ACACCCGGUUUAUUGCUGUUGUAGGGUUGGCACAGCUUAGCUUUGUUCAAUUUUUCGUACAACGGAGCCUGUAAAAUAUCUGCUGCACCAGGUUGAACACCUUGCCUGGCCUGGCUUUGGCCGCUUUCGCGAUGCGCUGGAAGGCCCUGUCUACGGCCAUUUCGCCGGCCGCGAGGGCGA
rnacentral:sRNA from 1 species